AAAUUGAAGAGUUUGAUCAUGGCUCAGAUUGAACGCUGGCGGCAGGCCUAACACAUGCAAGUCGAACGGUAACAGGAAGCAGCUUGCUGUUUCGCUGACGAGUGGCGGACGGGUGAGUAAUGUCUGGGAAACUGCCUGAUGGAGGGGGAUAACUACUGGAAACGGUAGCUAAUACCGCAUAACGUCGCAAGACCAAAGAGGGGGACCUUCGGGCCUCUUGCCAUCGGAUGUGCCCAGAUGGGAUUAGCUAGUAGGUGGGGUAACGGCUCACCUAGGCGACGAUCCCUAGCUGGUCUGAGAGGAUGACCAGCCACACUGGAACUGAG
rnacentral:rRNA from 1 species